GAAAUGCGAUAAGUAAUGUGAAUUGCAGAAUUCAGUGAAUCAUCGAAUCUUUGAACGCACAUUGCGCCCUUUGGUAUUCCGAGGGGCAUGCCUGUUCGAGCGUCAUUUCACCAAUCAAGCUCUGCUUGGUAUUGGGCCUUCGUCCUUAAGGACGGGCCUCAAAGACCUCGGCGGUGCCGUCUGGCUUCAAGCGUAGUAAAACAUUUUCGCUUUGGAAGUUUCAGGUGGUGGCUCGCCGGACAAAACCUUUUUAUUUCUAAGGUUGACCUCGGAUCAGGUAGGGAUACCCGCUGAACUUAA
rnacentral:misc_RNA from 1 species